GUGGAAUUUGAGGCCUCCCCAACCACCCACCAAAAAAGGAGGGUGAAAUGAAAGGAAUAAGGAAACCUCAGCAUUCUGUUCUCUGACAAAGAGUAAAAUGACAAGGAAUAUCGAUCGGCCUGAAUUCUCUUCCCCAAGAAGAAAUCACAC
ensembl:misc_RNA